UACGUAGGCAGCAAGCGUUGUUCGGAGUUACUGGGCGUAAAGAGUGCGUAGGCGGUCUUUUAAGUUUGGUGUGAAAUCUCCCGGCUCAACUGGGAGGGUGCGCCGAAAACUGGGAGGCUUGAGGAUGGGAGAGGCAUGCGGAAUUCCUGGUGUAGCGGUGAAAUGCGUAGAUAUCAGGAGGAACACCUGCGGUGUAGACAGCAUGCUGGACCAUUUCUGACGCUGAGGCGCGAAAGCUAGGGUAGCAAACGGG
rnacentral:rRNA from 1 species